rnacentral:rRNA from 1 species
CCCCUAGUAACUGCGAGUGAAGCGGGAAAAGCUCAAAUUUAAAAUCUGGCAGCUUAGGUUGUCCGAGUUGUAAUCUGGAGAAGCGUUUUCCGUGCCGGACCGUGUACAAGUCUCUUGGAACAGAGCGUCAUAGAGGGUGAGAAUCCCGUCCAUGACACGGACCGCCGGUGCUAUGUGAUACGCUCUCGAAGAGUCGAGUUGUUUGGGAAUGCAGCUCAAAAUGGGUGGUAAAUUCCAUCUAAAGCUAAAUAUUGGCGAGAGACCGAUAGCGAACAAGUACCGUGAGGGAAAGAUGAAAAGCACUUUGGAAAGAGAGUUAAACAGUACGUGAAAUUGUUGAAAGGGAAACGCUUGAAGUCAGUCGCGUUGUGCGGAGCUCAGCCCUGCUCUUUUGCUGGGUGUACUCUCCGUAUCGACGGGUCAACGUCAAUUUUGACCGGCAGAGAAGGGCUGUUUGAAUGUAGCGUCGUUUCGGCGACGUGUUAUAGCUUUCGGUCGUAUGUGUCGGUUGGGAUUGAGGACCGCAGCACGCCCUUGUGGCCGGGGGUUCGCCCUACGUUUCGUGCUUAGGAUGUUGGCAAAAUGGCUUUAAGCGACCCGUCUUGAAACACGGACCAAGGAGUCUAACAUGCUUGCGAGUGUUAGGGUGGAAAACCCUUGCGCGUAAUGAAAGUGAAAGUUGAGAACCUCCGCAAGGGGGUGCACCGACGCCCGGCCCUGAAGUUCUCUGACGGUGCUGAGGUUGAGCACGUAUGUUGGGACCCGAAAGAUGGUGAACUAUGCCUGAAUAGGGUGAAGCCAGAGGAAACUCUGGUGGAGGCUCGUAGCGAUUCUGACGUGCAAAUCGAUCGUCAAAUUUGGG